GUCCUCACUUCAGUAGCACAUUUAUCCUAAAAUUGGAACGGUAAAGAAAAGAUUAUCAUGGCCUUGAGCAAAGAUGACAGGCAAAUUCAUUGAGGCAUUCCAUAAAUUA